rnacentral:rRNA from 1 species
AGCGAACGCUGGCGGCAGGCUUAACACAUGCAAGUCGAGCGCCCCGCAAGGGGAGCGGCAGACGGGUGAGUAACACGUGGGAACGUGCCUUUUGGUUCGGAACAACCCAGGGAGACUUGGGCUAAUACCGGAUAAGCCCUUACGGGGAAAGAUUUAUCGCCAAAAGAUCGGCCCGCGUCUGAUUAGCUAGUUGGUGGGGUAAUGGCCCACCAAGGCUACGAUCAGUAGCUGGUCUGAGAGGAUGAUCAGCCACAUUGGGACUGAGACACGGCCCAAACUCCUACGGGGGGCAGCAGUGGGGAAUAUUGGACAAUGGGGGCAACCCUGAUCCAGCCAUGCCGCGUGAGUGAUGAAGGCCCUAGGGUUGUAAGGCUCUUUUAGCAGGGAAGAUAAUGACGGUACCUGCAGAAAAAGCCCCGGCUAACUUCGUGCCAGCCGCCGCAGUAAGAC